rnacentral:rRNA from 1 species
UAGGGAAUCUUCGGCAAUGGACGAAAGUCUGACCGAGCAACGCCGCGUGAGUGAAGAAGGUUUUCGGAUCGUAAAACUCUGUUGUUAGAGAAGAACAAGGACGUUAGUAACUGAACGUCCCCUGACGGUAUCUAACCAGAAAGCCACGGCUAACUACGUGCCAGCAGCCGCGGUAAUACGUAGGUGGCAAGCGUUGUCCGGAUUUAUUGGGCGUAAAGCGAGCGCAGGCGGUUUCUUAAGUCUGAUGUGAAAGCCCCCGGCUCAACCGGGGAGGGUCAUUGGAGACUGGGAGACUUGAGUGCAGAGGAGGAGGGUGGAAUUCCAUGUGUAGCGGUGAAAUGCGUAGAUAUAUGGAGGAACACCAGUGGCGAAGGCGGCUCUCUGGUCUGUAACUGACGCUGAGGCUCGAAAGCGUGGGGAGCAAGCAGG